UGUCGGAUUUAAAAUUCUGAGAGAAGUUAUCCGUCAUAUUUUUUGACAAGCGAGAGAAUAGACAUAAUUGUAUAGGAUGUUAUCAAAGUAAGUGACGGUUCCUUUUCUCCAGUGAUACACAUUCGUAAUAUUUUUCUUCGAGAAACACUUUUUUCUUUGCUGAAAACUCACCUUCACAAUUAUAUAUUUCUUCACCCUCCCUCUCCUCCAAAUUUACAGUCUGUCUGGUGGUUCCUUAAAACUUUUUAUUGAGAAUGUCGACUCCGGAGUUUCCUCCCAGAAUAUUCGCCGCCAGUGAAGAACUAUCGGAUUAUAGAGUCAAUUCCUACCAUAAGAUAAAAUGCACAUAAUCGAUUCUCGAAGCUAUCUCUCCUGAUAAACUCGACUUCUUUUAAAAAAUCAUCAUUCACAAAGGUAAUUGCCUUAGAUGAUAAUCCUCCUUUCUCCGGUGCCUUCGGAUAUUUUAUUCUUGCUAGGAGAUUGAAGACCAGUAAAAAGUACGAGAUCUGGGUGUUGUUUGCCGGAACUCCUAUUUGGGUAUCAUUGAGAGAGUUCACCAUUGUUACCGGGCUUAAUUGUGGGAAGCUUCCCAAUUCGAAGAGUCGGAAAAGGAAAAAAACCCUCUAAAUGAGAAACCAUACUGUAAUGAGCUCUUUGGAUCCCUCAAGUCUUGUUCAGUGGAGAUGAUUGUCGAUAUGCUGAAGAACAAGAAGGUGAAAGACAGUGAGACAGGAAUCAAGUUUGCAUGUCUUGCUAUUGUCACUUCAGUACUGCUACCUUCUUCACACACGCCGACGAUCAACACAGAGCAUGUGGAGUUGAUCCGCAACCUAGACGAAUUCAUGGCUUACCCCUGGGGGCGUGUGUUUUUUUUCAGUUACUAAUGUCAUCCCUAUUGAAGAAUGAUGAGAUAGCCCUAGCUCAUGACUCCUUUGCUCUUAAAGGAUAUGUAGACUCCAUUCAAUUAGUGAUGAUCGCCGCUGUUCCUGCUCUCAAAGAAGAAGUGACUCCGAAUGCUCCAGUAAUUGUUCAAGAAUCGGACAACGAAGGUGAAUAGCACAAAAAGGAGAAUGAUGUGGAGGUUUCUGAUCCAUCUGGGGUGGAGAAAGCAAACUGCAAUGCUAAAUUCGUCUUAAUUCUAGCGCACGCGAAGGGCACGGAUCUUGAGUCCAAGGUAAGUGUGAAAUUGUUUUGUAGUUGUUAAUUCGGUUGGUCGUGGCUAAUCUUAAUUUUAACUGCUAAAAUCUGUUUUAUAAUGUAUUCUGUUGGUGCGUGGUCGGUCUGUUCUUGAUGCACCACACGAGGAGUGGGUACUUGAGGUUGACCUAGGAUGCCCCGAUGAACUGGAGGACCCUUUGGUCGAUUCCUUGGUUGAGCUUGUGGCUAAUUGCUAUGUCUUCAAAAAGAAGAUGUUUAAGGGAGGUUACCGCCACAGACAUAGCCGUUUGAGGAGUAUGAAGCAGAAGGAGAAAGACUCGAAGGAGAAGAAUGACAAGGAUAACUCUGGUGAUUACAACGAGGCAGACACAGUUGAUCAAACGCUAGUACUAACAUUGCUAACAUGGUGUCGACGCUAUUGAAAGAUGAGAUCAGUGGCAUUGUUGAUAGGGUGUAUACUCGGGUUGACUUGCAGAUGAAGAGUAUGUUUUUGGGGCUGAACUUUGGCCAAAGGAUCUCUCAGUUGAAGAUAGCUAUCAACCCCAUUCUAGGGAUGGAGAGCAAGAUUGUAAAUCGUGUUGUGGAUAAGAUCUCUAUAAUGCAUGAUGCUGUUAUCAACUCUGUGUGUGAUCGCAUUGGAAACCCCGAGCCGAUUAACCCAUGUAACACCACCCAAAUUGAUAUGGAGGAAGGGACACAUCAACCAAUCAGGAGGGAUCUCAACAAACAAAGUGGAGUGAUCACUAGGAAAAAAGAUGUAAUAGUACGCAACAUUGAUCAUGAUGAUGCUAUCAGGAAGGUUAUCAGUGAUCUCCAGCCGGUGUCGGACAAUACAUAGGCGGCUGGACACAUCAAUUUUACCGGGUGGUGUUUCGGAAAGUCACAUCGGAGAUGCGAACCCUGUUCAGGACAGUGGUAUUGAAGACUCAGAGGUGGAUGCAGACCAUGACGUUCAUAUACCUCCACAAAUUCAGCUGAUCCCACCACAGUAGUUUUCAACGCAAAGCCUCUGGAGUAUGUUCUUCCAUUGCCCAAGCCAGCUAAGGCUCCAAUAGAGCCUAGGAAAAGCAAAAGGUCUCGUGUUGCGCCUUCAGAAUUGGAUGCUUUCAAGUGUGACCCAACCAUAGUUGGUGGAUGACCUUUAUGAGAGACCUGAAACACCACUACUUGGAGGUUCUUGAGCAGGUCACUAUGAUGGUUUUUUCAGCUACGUCUUUCUUAACUGUGUUCAAACCGGCAUAUCCAUCAACAUAGGGAGGGGGGGGGGGGAGUAUUCCAUCAGCACCUUUGAUUUCCUAGAUAUUGCACUUAGGUUAACUCAAAUGGCACCAAAGGUGAUGGACUCUCUAAUGACAUUCAUUAACAGCCAACUAUCCGAAUCGCAGAACCUGAUAAUUGUAGCAGACUCCACACUUCCGGAAACUCUAAUGUCUCAUCGUUCUAGGUUUGUCAUGACCACAGUGAAGAAUCGUCCGAAGUUUAAGUUUAACGGUGACGCGCUGAGCUGCAUCAAAGCAUGAUUUAAAGGGAGGCUAUACUUUCUAUUUAACAUUGACCAGCAGCAUUGGGUAUAGGCAUGCGUAGACUUCAAGGCAUGUGUUGUUCAUGUGAUUGAUUGCAACAUAUCACUGAUGAGUGACGGUCUAAUGAGGAAGGAGCUGACACAUGUAACAAACAUGUUGCCAUACAUACCUUAUGCAGCCAGUAAGGGGGAAACAAUUGCACCGUUUAAGUCUUUUACGAUUUCUAGGUGCAAAGGUAUCCCUCAAACCUCCCCCCCAACAGACGCGGGUGUGAUGACUGUUCUUCUUAUCGAGGCUCACAAGGAUGGAGGAGUUGAUGCGUGCAAGACGAUAAUGCCUAGAGUUUUGUCAGGUGCUGCGAAACAGUUAGUAGUGAAGUUUUUCAGGUAACUCAAGUCAAGUGAUACGAUCGAGUGUGGUAAUGGGGAGUGAUUAGUAUUUGAUUCACAAACACAUGUUGUGUCUAAUCUAUGUUGUUGAAGCCACUUUUUAUUUUAGAACUUAUGUUAUUUCAAAUACACGUUAUUGUAUCUCUUGUUUAAACCAUGUUAACCGUUAAGUUAUUUGUUAUCGAUACCUAAAUAUUUAACAAUAA